rnacentral:rRNA from 1 species
UACGUAGGCAGCGAGCGUUGUUCGGAGUUACUGGGCGUAAAGGGUGUGUAGGCGGUUCUUAAGUUUGGUGUGAAAUCUCCCGGCUCAACCGGGAGGGUGCGCCGAAUACUGAGGGACUUCGAGUGCGGGAGAGGAAAGUGGAAUUCCUGGUGUAGCGGUGAAAUGCGUAGAUAUCAGGAGGAACACCGGUGGUGUAGACGGCUUUCUGGACCGUAACUGACGCUGAGACACGAAAGCGUGGGUAGCAAACAGG